CAGCAGCCACAGUAAAACCAGCAGCCCAAGUGGUGGUCGCGAUUAUUGGGCCUAGAGCGCUCGUAGCCGGGCCGGUAAGUCCCUUGUGAAAUCGGACGGCCUAACCGUUCGGCGUGCAAGGGAUACUGUCGGUCUUGAGGCCGGGAGACGUCCGAGGUACUCCGGGGGUAGCGGUGAAAUGUUCUGAUCCUCGGGGGACCACCGGUGGCGAAGGCGUUCGACGAGAACGGGCCUGACGGUGAGGGGCGAAGGCUAGGGGAGCAAACAGGAUUAGAUACCCCUGUAGUCCCUGUCUCUUAUU
rnacentral:rRNA from 1 species